rnacentral:rRNA from 1 species
ACUUAAGCAUAUCAAUAAGCGGAGGAAAAGAAACCAACAGGGAUUGCCUCAGUAACGGCGAGUGAAGCGGCAACAGCUCAAAUUUUAAAGCUGGCGUCUUCGGCGUCCGCAUUGUAAUUUGGAGAGGCAUCUUCGGUUUGGGCGCCAGCCUAUGUUCCUUGGAACAGGACGUCACAGAGGGUGAGAAUCCCGUGCUUGGCCGGCUGUCCCAUUCCAUGUGAAGUGUCUUCGACGAGUCGAGUUGUUUGGGAAUGCAGCUCAAAAUGGGUGGUAAAUUUCAUCUAAAGCUAAAUAUUGGUGGGAGACCGAUAGCGCACAAGUAGAGUGAUCGAAAGAUGAAAAGCACUUUGAAAAUAGAGUUAAAAAGUACGUGAAAUUGUUGAAAGGGAAGCGCUUGAGACCAGACUCGGCYGGGGAUGAUCAGCUGUCCUUCUGGGCAGUGCACUUGUCUCUGGUCGGGCCAGCAUCGGUUGAGACGGYGGGACAAAGGCUUCGGGAACGUGGCUCCUUUCGGGGAGUGUUAUAGCCCGUCGCGUAAUGCCGCCAGCCUCGACCGAGGACCGCGCUUCGGCUAGGAUGCUGGCGUAAUGGUCUUCAGCGACCCGUCUUGAAACACGGACCAAGGAGUCUAACAUCUAUGCGAGUGUUUGGGUGUCAAACCCUUGCGCGAAAUGAAAGUGAACGGAGGUGGGAACCCGCAAGGGUGCACCAUCGACCGGUCCUGAUGUCUUCGGAUGGAUCUGAGUAGGAGCAUAGCUGUUGGGACCCGAAAGAUGGUGAACUAUGCCUGAAUAGGGUGAAGCCAGAGGAAACUCUGGUGGAGGCUCGCAGCGGUUCUGACGUGCAAAUCGAUCGUCAAAUUUGGGUAUAGGGGCGAAAGACUAAUCGAACCAUCUAGUAGCUGGUUCCUGCCGAAGUUYCCC